rnacentral:lncRNA from 1 species
UGACGUCGUCGACGAAGGUGCGAGCGAUCUCCUUGCGUGACAACAGCUUCUUGCUCUGCGUGAGAAAAUAAAGAAGGAAAAGGAAAACAAUGUUGAGUUAAAAUUCAGGAAAAAAAACCACAAGUCAAUCUAGUCAAACAUUUUCACAUUUGAACAAAAGAAAACAAAGAUGAAAAAAACCACCAAUACCUUGUAUUAGUUAGGCCUUUACUUAGCAUAGCUAGAAACAAUGGACCACAUUGCAGAAAGCUAACCAAAUAGUUGCCAAAGAAGCAUAGUUUAACACCAUCUCCAAUUCCCUAACAUCAUUAAUAUUUAGUAAUAGAUUAAUUCUAAUCAUCAUAUCAUAGAGACUAAAACAUGCUAAAUCAAAAAUUAGUGAUUCUGCAAAAAUUAAAUUUAUCGCAAAUUAUCAUUAUCAUUUAAGAAUUCACAGUCACUAAACCACAUGAUUGUUAAAACCUGAGUUCAUGACACACUUAGUCCAAGCACAAAUUUUGUGCAAAAUCUCCAUAGGCACUCAUGUACCUGGUCUGAGUUUUUAUGCUAAGAAAAGCAAAUUAUUUUCCUCUUUCAGCAAUUAUGAUAGAUUGUUGGAUACAUCAUGCAUGCAUCAAGCCUUAAUACAAGUUAACUUUAUUAACUAUCGGGCCAGAUUCAAGUAAAAUAAUACCAAGAUCAAAUCAAUAUUCAAUAUACAAAUC